rnacentral:tRNA from 2 species
AUUGCAAUGGCAGAUUAGUGCAUUAGAUUUAAGCUCUAAAUAUGAAUAAGUUUCUUGCAAUA